GAACGCUUCUUCAUCAAUGCAAAGACAAGGAUAGAGGAGUGAUACCAUCUGGGUAUAGCGAGAAGACGGUGACAGAAAUAAAGACGGAAUGCAUUUACUGGUGCAAAUCAAGUGCUAAUGAUGAAAUGUGGUAUUAUGGACACAUAUCUGAUGGCGCACAGUGCAAAAAACGCAAAAGGCCGGGACGAUGCAGACAGGGCUAUUGCAUUGCCGGCCAACAUUCGAGCAGGGGACCAGAUGAUGACGACGAUCAUCAGGUCACGACGCCACGUAAGUAUAUGGGCCCGUGAAAAGACUCGGGUGACAGCAGGACGGCCGGAACCAGAAGAACGAUGGCUUAUUGCGUGCGCUGCAUUUGUGCACCUGUAUUCUAGUGAAGUGCGCAUGUCCGAUGCUUUGUUAGUUGUAGGAGAGGCGCACG